GCGAUGGUGGUAUAGUGGUGAGCAUAGCUGCGACGCACAUCUUGACCCGGGUUCGAUUCCCGCCCAUCGCA
rnacentral:tRNA from 1 species